UCUACGGGAGGCAGCAGUGAGGGAUAUUGGUCAAUGGGGGAAACCCUGAACCAGCAACGCCGCGUGAGGGAAUACGGUUUUCGGAUUGUACACCUCUGUCCUCUGUGAAGAUAAUGACGGUAGCAGAGGAGGAAGCUCCGGCUAACUACGUGCCAGCAGCCGCGGUAAUACGUAGGGAGCAAGAGUUGUCCGGAUUUACUGGGUGUAAAGGGUGCGUAGGCGGCCUGGGAAGUCAGAAGUGAAAUCCAUGGGCUUAACCCGUGAACUGCUUUUGAAACUGUAGGGCUUGAGUGAAGUAGAGGCAGGCGGAAUUCCCGGUGUAGCUGUGAUAUGCGUAGAGAUCGGGAGGAACACCAGUGGCGAAGGCGGCCUGCUGGGCUUUAACUGACGCUGAAGCACGAAAGCGUGGGUAGCAAACAUGAUUAGAUACCCUUGUAUC
rnacentral:rRNA from 1 species